GAUGAAGAACGCAGCGAAAUGCGAUAAGUAAUGCGAAUUGCAGAUUUCAGUGAGUCAUCGAAUCUUUGAACGCACAUUGCGCCCGCCAGUAUUCUGGCGGGCAUGCCUGUUCGAGCGUCAUUUCAACCAUCAAGCCCCCGGGCUUGUGUUGGGGACCUGCGGCUGCCGCAGGCCCUGAAAAGCAGUGGCGGGCUCGCUGUCACACCGAGCGUAGUAGAUUUUAUCUCGCUCUGGGCGUGCUGCGGGUUCCGGCCGUUAAACCACCCUUUUAACCCAAGGUUGACCUCGGAUCAGGUAGGAAGACCCGCUGAACUUAAGCAUAUCAAUAAGCGGAGGA
rnacentral:misc_RNA from 1 species